rnacentral:rRNA from 1 species
AGUGAACGCUGGCGGCGUGCCUAAUACAUGCAAGUCGAACGGAGAUUAAGUAGCUUGCUAUUUAAUCUUAGUGGCGCACGGGUGAGUAAUAUAUAGCUAACUUGCCCAUUACUAAGGGACAACAGUUGGAAACGACUGCUAAUACCUUAUACUCCGUAUCUAUAUAAGUAGAUACGGGAAAGUUUUUCGGUAAUGGAUAGGGCUAUAUCGUAUCAGCUAGUUGGUAAGGUAAUGGCUUACCAAGGCUAUGACGCGUAACUGGUCUGAGAGGAUGAUCAGUCACACUGGAACUGAGACACGGUCCAGACUCCUACGGGAGGCAGCAGUAGGGAAUAUUGCUCAAUGGGGGAAACCCUGAAGCAGCAACGCCGCGUGGAGGAUGACACUUGUCGGAGCGUAAACUCCUUUUCUUGGGAAAGAAUUAUGACGGUACCCAAGGAAUAAGCACCGGCUAACUCCGUG